rnacentral:rRNA from 1 species
GACGAACCGAGCGAACGUUGUUCGGAAUCACUGGGCUUAAAGGGCGCGUAGGCGGGUGAUCAAGUCCGGGGUGAAAUCCUCCAGCUCAACUGGAGAACUGCCUCGGAUACUGGUUGCCUCGAGGAAGGUAGGGGUGUGUGGAACGUUCAGUGGAGCGGUGAAAUGCAUUGAUAUUGAACGGAACUCCGGUGGCGAAGGCGACACAUGGGACCUUUUAUGACGCUGAGGCGCGAAAGCUAGGGGAGCAAACGGG